GGAAGGACAGGGACCGGGGGCCAGGCUUUACUCGGGAUUCAUGGAACAGAGUGUCCUGCAAAGAAGGUGAUCGCAGCCCGAUGUGGUCAGCACAGACCUGGGAUUGAGUGGAGUCUACAGAGACUUGGAAAAUGCUGGAUCAGAAGGCAAAUGAUGUGGUUGAACCAAGCAAGCAGAGAAAAAUGCAGCACUGCCAGCCCUUUUCACCAUGUCGGAACAUGAGAACUAGGUGAAGACAAGUAGCUCACCUGCCAAUUUUUUUUCUUACUGGGGAGAGAAUAUUCUGGAACUCUUCCUACAGGAAAGGCCAUCAGGCAUAGACCUCUUUCCAAACAAACAUUACUAGU